UCGCAGUGGGGUUUAGUCUCUAAAGAGA
rnacentral:sRNA from 1 species